UGCCCAGCAACUCCUAUCCCUACCUCCUCGCGGUACUGGCCGGGGAACAAGCAACCUUAGGGAAGAUCUGGUAACCAACCUUGGUGGGAUCUUUGGUCGUAUGCUGACAGGGAAGG
rnacentral:ribozyme from 1 species